rnacentral:rRNA from 1 species
ACAUGCAAGUCGAGCGGCAGCGGGAAAGUAGCUUGCUACUUUUGCCGGCGAGCGGCGGACGGGUGAGUAAUGCCUGGGAAAUUGCCCAGUCGAGGGGGAUAACAGUUGGAAACGACUGCUAAUACCGCAUACGCCCUACGGGGGAAAGCAGGGGACCUUCGGGCCUUGCGCGAUUGGAUAUGCCCAGGUGGGAUUAGCUAGUUGGUGAGGUAAUGGCUCACCAAGGCGACGAUCCCUAGCUGGUCUGAGAGGAUGAUCAGCCACACUGGAACUGAGACACGGUCCAGACUCCUACGGGAGGCAGCAGUGGGGAAUAUUGCACAAUGGGGGAAACCCUGAUGCAGCCAUGCCGCGUGUGUGAAGAAGGCCUUCGGGUUGUAAAGCACUUUCAGCGAGGAGGAAAGGUCAGUAGCUAAUAUCUGCUGACUGUGACGUUACUCGCAGAAGAAGCACCGGCUAACUCCGUGCCAGCAGCCGCGGUAAUACGGAGGGUGCAAGCGUUAAUCGGAAUUACUGGGCGUAAAGCGCACGCAGGCGGUUGGAUAAGUUAGAUGUGAAAGCCCCGGGCUCAACCUGGGAAUUGCAUUUAAAACUGUCCAGCUAGAGUCUUGUAGAGGGGGUAGAAUUCCAGGUGUUAGCGGUUGAAAUUGCGUAGAAGAUCUUGGAGGAAAUACCGUGGGCGAAAGGCGGCCCCUGGGACAAAAACUGGACCCUCAAGGUGCCAAAAGCGUGGGGGACCAACAGGAAUAAAAUACCCUGGUAAUCCCCCCCCGUAACAAUUCCAAUUUGAAGCUGUGUCCUUGAAACCGGCUUUCCGAGCUUAACCUUUAAACCACCCCCUGGGGAAUACGCCCCAGGUUAAAAUCAAUGAAUUUCCGGGGCCCCCCAAACGGGGGACUUGGGUUUUUUUUUGAACCGAAAACUUCCGGCUUAAAUUUUGGAACUCGAAAAAUGGGGGCCUUGGAAAAAAAAAGGUCUGGUUUUCCCCCGUUUGGAAUGGGUAUUCCAAAAAGAACCCUCUUUUUCCCCAUUGGGGAAAAGGGAUCCGGUACCCGAGGGGGGGUUAUUUUGGCUUUCCGGGCCCCUUUAUGGUCAGGGGGUCUUUUAACCAACCCACCGGGGGGCCCCCCCACGUUAAAAUGGUUUCCUCCCCCCCCGUCGAAAACAAUCCGGGGGUUGGGGUGAAAANNNUNNUNNGANCCUUAACUCCUCCUAAAGUUUAGAGCCCUUUGACCUCCUCUCCUCC